AGGUUCCCAGUGUUCGGCUGGGGCAGCACACUGUGGCUGGCUGCUUCCCUUCCUUCCAUCCCCUUUGGGCCAAACGGGAUCGGUGCUUCUGGUGUGACGCCUCCCCAUGCACAUCACUCCCAGGUGCCCUAGGGGGCACAUUUCCCACAACUCCCAGAGGGCAGGUUUCUAGAAAGUGCCACCAGUGGGGAGGCGCCACAACUUCACUGCCAUUUUGUGAGGUGCCGCUGUCUCUCCUCCAGCAAGGAAACAAUGACCGAUAAAACAGAGAAGGUGGCUCUAGAUCCUGAAACCGUGUUUAAACGUCCCAGGGAAUGUGACAGUCCUUCGUAUCAGAAAAGGCAGAAGAUGGCCCUGUUGGCAAGGAAACAAGGAGCAGGAGACAGCCUUAUUGCAGGCUCUGCCAUGUCCAAAGAAAAGAAGCUUAUGACAGGAGAUGCUAUUCCACCCAGCCAAUUGGAUUCUCAGAUUGAUGACUUCAGAAAGAUAGGAUGAGGCAGAAAUCUGGUAGCAAUGCACCUGUGGGAGGAAUCAUGACCAGCAAUUUCUCUGGAGAUGACCUAGAAUGCAGAGAAAUAGUCCUUUUUCCCAAAAGCCAAGAAGAAAUUAAUGCUGAUAUAAAAUGUCAAUUAGUGAAGGAAAUCCGAUGCAUUGGACAAAAUAUAUGAGCCGAGACUUUGUUCAGCUCCUUGAGAAGAAACUGGAACAUAUGAUUUGGGAGUACUUGUCCAUGGAGGAUUAUCACACCCCAAAUGCAUAAUCUCAUUAAUGAUUCAAGAGAGAAAAGGAUCAGAUUGCUGUUUUCUGCAAUGGAGCAGGAUAUUGCUGAAGUCUCCUGGCAUAUGUUACUGAAUCAAAUGGCCUUCCAGAAGCUAAGAAAUUUCUGUUAGUAAAAGAUGUUCUUUU